rfam:Gossypium arboreum cultivar AKA8401 contig_66707_3, whole genome shotgun sequence.
AAUCCAUGGUAUGGGCAUCUCUAAAUCAACAUUAUAAAGCAUUCCCAAGCUUCAUGAAAAUUUUCUCUUUCUAGUUGUUUAAACAUUGCAAUCUCUCUCCUCAGUUC